GCAAGGAAGGUUUGAUUAAAAUAAGGUUUUAAUUCCAAGCUCUGCCACUGAUUUCAUGGGCAAGUUACUUCACCUGUUUGUGCCUCAGAUCCUCAUCUACAAAGUGAGGGUAAGAUUUUCCUAUUGUGAGGUGCAAUC
rnacentral:snoRNA from 1 species